CAGCAGCCGCGGUAAUACGUAGGGAGCAAGCGUUGUUCGGAAUUAUUGGGCGUAAAGAGCGCGUAGGCGGUUCGGUAAGUCUGACGUGAAAUCCCAGAGCUCAACUCUGGAACUGCGUUGGAUACUGCCGAGCUUGAGUGUGGGAGAGGAGAGUGGAAUUCCCAGUGUAGAGGUGAAAUUCGUAGAUAUUGGGAGGAACACCCGUGGCGAAGGCGGCUCUCUGGACCACAACUGACGCUGAGGCGCGAAAGCUAGGGUAGCAAACGGGAUUAGAUACCCCGGUAGUCCUAGCCGUAAACGAUGGGCACUAGGUGUUGGAGGUAUCGACCCCUCCAGUGCCGCAGCUAACGCAUUAAGUGCCCCGCCUGGGGAGUACGGUCGCAAGACUAAAACUCAAAGGAAUUGACGG
rnacentral:rRNA from 1 species